GGAGGGAAGAUGGGGAAAAUGGAGAACAGGAAAGGAGACAGAGGACGAGGGAGAAGAAGAGAGGGGGAGGAACGAUGCUAUGGAGCUUGGCGCAGCUGCUGAGCUGCUGUGGCAGAGAAGAAAGGGAGAGGCGAACGUGACCCACAGAGGAGAGGAAGGAGCUGCCGUCGAGCCACGCCCCUUUACCUUGUUCGUGUAUCGCCGUUGCUAUUCGCUGAGGGUGAGACGCGAAGAGAAGAUGCUGACCCGCACCAUCGUGCCUCGCUAUCUUCGUCGAGCCUUCAUCAUUGUCGCUCCCUAUUCCCGUUGCCAUCAGGGUUUGCUGCCGCUGCCAUUCAGAGUGACGCAGCAGAGGAGGAGUCGUUCCUCUUCCGCCGCCGUCGCCGGAGACCUUGGUUGCUGCUAUUCAUAUGGCUGGAACUUGUCACCGGGGGAGAGAAGCGGCUGCACUAUCCUCUUCGUUUUGACAUUGAACCUCUAUUCCUAACCCUAAUUGAUGCUGCUGCCGCCGUCUCGGUUGCGUUGAAAUCGCCGCUGCAGUUGCCAGUUUAGACUAAGCAGGGAUUGUUGCGUUAAACUAUGCGAUUGCGACAUCGAACGACAGCUUUGAAGACGCAAUUUGAAGCUGCGAGCGAUCAGUAGGCUUUCUUUAU